ensembl:Y_RNA Y_RNA Y RNA
GGCUGAUCCAAUGGUGGUGGGUUAUCACAGCUUAUUAACAUUAGUGUCACUAAAGUUGGUAUACAAACCCCUCACACUGUUAAAUUUGACUGGCUUAAA